rnacentral:rRNA from 1 species
AAAUUGAAGAGUUUGAUCAUGGCUCAGAUUGAACGCUGGCGGCAGGCCUAACACAUGCAAGUCGAACGGUAGCAGAAAGAAGCUUGCUUCUUUGCUGACGAGUGGCGGACGGGUGAGUAAUGUCUGGGAAACUGCCCGAUGGAGGGGGAUAACUACUGGAAACGGUAGCUAAUACCGCAUAACGUCUUCGGACCAAAGA